rnacentral:rRNA from 1 species
GUCGAACGGCAGCACAAGGGAGCUUGCUCCCUGGGUGGCGAGUGGCGGACGGGUGAGGAAUACAUCGGAAUCUGCCUAUUUGUGGGGGAUAACGUAGGGAAACUUACGCUAAUACCGCAUACGACCUACGGGUGAAAGCGGAGGACCUUCGGGCUUCGCGCAGAUAGAUGAGCCGAUGUCGGAUUAGCUAGUUGGCGGGGUAAAGGCCCACCAAGGCGACGAUCCGUAGCUGGUCUGAGAGGAUGAUCAGCCACACUGGAACUGAGACACGGUCCAGACUCCUACGGGAGGCAGCAGUGGGGAAUAUUGGACAAUGGGCGCAAGCCUGAUCCAGCCAUGCCGCGUGGGUGAAGAAGGCCUUCGGGUUGUAAAGCCCUUUUGUUGGGAAAGAAAAGCAGCCGGUUAAUACCCGGUUGUUCUGACGGUACCCAAAGAAUAAGCACCGGCUAACUUCGUGCCAGCAGCCGCGGUAAUACGAAGGGUGCAAGCGUUACUCGGAAUUACUGGGCGUAAAGCGUGCGUAGGUGGUUUGUUAAGUCUGAUGUCAAUGCCCUGUCC